rnacentral:rRNA from 1 species
AUUGAACGCUGGCGGCAGGCCUAACACAUGCAAGUCGAACGAGUGGCGGACGGGUGAGUAAUGUCUGGGAAACUGCCUGAUGGCGGGGGAUAACUACUGGAAACGGUAGCUAAUACCGCAUACUCUCGGCUGUGCCCAGAUGGGAUUAGCUAGUAGGUGGGGUAAAGGCUCACCUAGGCGCCGAUCACUAGCUGGUCUGAGAGGAUGACCAUCCACACGGGGACUGAUACACUGUCCAGACUCCUACGGGAGGCAGCAGUGGGGAAUAUUGCACAAUGGGAGCAAGCCUGAUGCAGCCAUGCCGCGUGUAUGAAGAAGGCCUUCGGGUUGUAAAGUACUUUCAGCGGGGAGGCGUUACCCGCAGAAGAAGCACCGGCUAACUCCGUGCCAGCAGCCGCGGUAAUAG